AGAGUUUGAUCCUGGCUCAGGACGAACGCUGGCGGCGUGCUUAACACAUGCAAGUCGAACGAUGAACCGGUUUCGGCCGGGGAUUAGUGGCGAACGGGUGAGUAACACGUGGGCAAUCUGCCUGCACUCUGGGACAAGCCCUGGAAACGGGGUCUAAUACCGGAUAUGAGUCACUAAGGCAUCUUGGUGACUGUAAAGCU
rnacentral:rRNA from 1 species